GUUCAGGAGGGUAUGGGGCUUGUCAGCAGGUUCAGGAGGGUAUGGGGCUUGUCAGCAGGUUCAGGAGGGUAUGGGGCUUGUCAGCAGGUUCAGGAGGGUAUGGGGCUUGUCAGCAGGUUCAGGAGGGUAUGGGGCUUGUCAGCAGGUUCAGGAGGGUAUGGGGCUUGUCAGCAGGUUCAGGAGGGUAUGGGGCUUGUCAGCAGGUUCAGGAGGGUAUGGGGCUUGUCAGCAGGUUCAGGAGGGUAUGGGGCUUGUCAGCAGGUUCAGGAGGGUAUGGGGCUUGUCAGCAGGUUCAGGAGGGUAUGGGGCUUGUCAGCAGGUUCAGGAGGGUAUGGGGCUUGUCAGCAGGUUCAGGAGGGUAUGGGGCUUGUCAGCAGGUUCAGGAGGGUAUGGGGCUUGUCAGCAGGUUCAGGAGGGUAUGGGGCUUGUCAGCAGGUUCAGGAGGGUAUGGGGCUUGUCAGCAGGUUCAGGAGGGUAUGGGGCUUGUCAGCAGGUUCAGGAGGGUAUGGGGCUUGUCAGCAGGUUCAGGAGGGUAUGGGGCUUGUCAGCAGGUUCAGGAGGGUAUGGGGCUUUCGUACGUAUAGUCAGACACGUGAAUGAAAUAACAUUGUUGUCUACAUGUAACAAUCUGCACACUCUACAGUUUAUUUGUUCAUAUUCCAAUGUACUUUUUUUUCAAUGACCCCCGAAUCUGAAAUAAAAUAUCUUCCAAAACAGUAAGUUGAAAAUAAACUGCGAGAUGGACAAGAAAAGCUCAAUGAAUAUCAUUGAAACAGUACUGAAUUUCACAUCCAGUAUACAGUAGAAUCUGCAUACCUUAAAGAAUUUGAUAUGCUGAUGUGGUUUUUAUCCUAUUGGCGACCAGAAUCUGAUCUCGCAGGCUGCAGCAAAGCCAGACAGGACACUGUCUCCUCUCCUCUCCUCUCAUCCUCUCUCCUCUCCUCUCCUCUCCUC